AAAAAGUAAAAUGAAAACUAUAGAAUUUGAAUUUAAUACAACUAGUAAUAAAAAACUUAUAUAAAAGAUAUUUUCACAUACAAACUAAGAAAUGAUAAUAGGUUAUCUAGUGAACUAUCAUUCUAAUAUUAUGUAUAUUUUACUGUCCGCGGGACUGUGGACCGCCUGUUGGCAAACCGGUAACCGGUCGACUUGAGGUCAGUAAGACUGCCUCGGCGAUACAUUUUAAAACGGAAAGCAUUAUAAUAUUAAUAUUAUACAGAAUAAUAUUCUCAACUGUUUUGGUUCGGCAUAGAUAGGGGCGAAUUU